AAGGAGACUCAGGAGGAGCUAGCCCGAGGCCUCCCAGUCUGCAUGUGGCAGAAGCCAGGCGUGAACCCAAGUCUGCCAGAGUCCCCCAGCUCUGCCCAUUUUCGGCACUGUCUGGGCCCUCACCAGCCACAGAGCUGGCACCCGGGUUCCAGGGUGCUCAGCGACCCAGGCUUCAGCCAUUUGGCUGCUUUGGUCUUCGUGGGGUUCACAUCCCAGGGGAGUGGGGAAGGCCUGUCCCCUACCAACACCAACACUUCUGUGCUGUCUUCCCCUGCAGCAGCAACCAAGUCCAGAGGAAGACCAGGUGGUGGAGGAGGGAGAGGAAGCAGCGGGGGAAGAAGGGGAUGAAGAAGUGGAAGAAGACUUAGCCUAGAAGUCAGCCUUCGACUGCGGCGCUAUCCCUGUGUGCCUUCCUCUCCCACCUCUUGACCCUCAACCAGACUUGCAUGGCCAUGGCAGGGCCUCGGGAAGACCUUCAGGAGCGGGGAAGGGUUUCUCCUCCAUGAUCGACCCUCCUCGUCCACCUACAAAUCAGGAACAGAAAGUCUGUCCACUUUGAAAAUACCUUUCCAGGCAGCUCCCUGACCAUUUGGACACAUUGCCAUGACAGGAGCCUCCAAGUAUGUGGGAGGGGACAGGCGGGACAAGCUUGGCUGUUCUGCUGCACCUGAAUGCUUUCUGUUAUCCUAAUUCUUGUAAAAUUAAAUGAAUCAUAACAAU
rnacentral:sRNA from 1 species